GUGCUUAACACAUGCAAGUCGAGUGCGCGCCUGUAGCAAUACAGGUGGCGCACGGCGCACGGGUGCGUAACACGUGGGCAAUCUGCCCUUCGAUGGGGAAUAACUCCGGGAAACCGGAGCUAAUUCCGCAUAACAUUCCUUGGACUGCGGUUCGAGGACUCAAAGCCGUAAGGCGUCGAAGGAGGAGCCCGCGCCCGAUUAGCUAGUUGGCGAGGUAAUGGCUCACCAAGGCAAUGAUCGGUAGCUGGUCUGAGAGGAUGGCCAGCCACACUGGAACUGAGACACGGUCCUU
rnacentral:rRNA from 1 species